GACGAGCCACCCAAACGUUAUUCGGAAUUACUGGGCUUAAAGGGUGCGUAGGCGGUGCAGCAAGUCGGGAGUGAAAUCCCACGGCUUAACCGUGGAAUUGCUUUCGAUACUGCUGUGCUUGAGUGAGACAGAGGUAAGCGGAACUUAGGGUGGAGCGGUGAAAUGCGUUGAUAUCCUAAGGAACACCGGUGGCGAAGGCGGCUUACUGGGUCUCUACUGACGCUGAGGCACGAAAGCCAGGGUAGCAAACGGG
rnacentral:misc_RNA from 1 species